UACGUAGGGUGCAAGCGUUAAUCGGAAUUACUGGGCGUAAAGCGUGCGCAGGCGGUUUUGUAAGUCUGUUGUGAAAUCCCCGGGCUCAACCUGGGAAUGGCAAUGGAGACUGCAAGGCUAGAGUUUGGCAGAGGGGGGUAGAAUUCCACGUGUAGCAGUGAAAUGCGUAGAUAUGUGGAGGAACACCGAUGGCGAAGGCAGCCCCCCUGGGUCAAAAACUGACGCUCAUGCACGAAAGCGUGGGAGCAAACAGG
rnacentral:rRNA from 1 species